ACUCCACGAGAAGAGAAGAGCUAGGAGAGACCAGCGGGCGGUAGCUGCGGCGAGUGGCCUCUCCGUGCGGCACAGAGGCAAGAAGCAGCCAUCCAUCCAGAAGCAGCCUCCGUGUUCCGUUUGUCCGGAUGUCAUCGUAGGUGGCCGGCAUCUCUGGCUUUGGGCUUCUCCCCUGGGGGCGGGUGGGUGCUCCACCCUCCCGCCCACUCUCUGAGGACAUGAGGAACAUGGUAUCCAGCACCACGGACAGCUCCCAGCGAUCCCAGAGGACUCAAGGCUAUGGGUGAUGUCGAAGGUGCGGAAGAAUCAAGUUGGAAAGACCAGCAGGAGACAGACAGAGUAAGGUUCCUUGAAUGCUUGGUUUAUGUGCCUGGCUGGAGGAGACACCCAUGGCCUUGCAGAGGGAGCGUUCUGGUGGGAAAGCAGACACAACCCACCCUAGGCCCGUGGUUUCCCUGCAAGAAGCCCAGUGGCUUUCUGGAGGACACUUUUCCUGGAGGAAGUGACUCAAGCAGUGGGCAGAGACCACCUCCCUCAUUGCCGCUUUGGGUUUGGACCGCUUUAAACAGUAAAGUGACUGUCGACGGCUCAGUCUACAGGGAGGAGAACAAAAGACAGGGUCAGGGCUGGGCAGACUGGACAGGAGCAGCAUAAGCCAGGCUCUAUGGAAUGUUGGGUGAGCUGCUUGAGGAACUCCAAGGCCUGUCCCACAGUCUUCCAGCCUCCGACUCUCCGGCCCUCAGCGAGGAAGUCCCACUGGUUUUUUUGGUUGGUUUUUUUUUUUUUUUUUAAGGUUUUUUGGUUUUUUUUUUUUUUUCUCAUUCCUGUCUUGGGAGCUUUCCCCAACCAGGAGAGUGAAGAUGGGCGGAGCUGUCACACCAACUGUUAGCCUGCCUUGGCUGAGAGGAGAGGAGGCGAGGAGGGAGCGACCACCCAGCUUUAGUCGUUUUAAAACAGCUCCUGACCCUAGAAGAAGGGAAAUGGAGAUGAAGACCCAAUUGACUUGAGAGAGUGAUCUUUCAGCAGACUGAUCGAACACACAGGCUUCUCAGCCCACUCCCUCCAGUCAAGGUUAAGGCCUGGCAAAGGUGGAGGAAGAGAAGCUGAGGAGAAAAAGGCGAGGAGAGCCUAGGCACAGGAAGGUGACCGCUUCCCUCCCUCCCAGUGCUGAUUUCCUGUGGACCAGAUUCCAGCACAGUGGAGGGCCAGAGCUCAGGGAACAGACCCAGCAGCACAGCAAGUCUCCAAGGAAAGCUCUAGCAGUCUCCAGGGGCUGAAGGCAGGACUGGGGAAGCGGCUAGCCAGGCUGCAGAAGGCAAAUGCUCCCAGACGGCUGUCCAGCACGCAUCCGCCUUCCUAGCCAAGUUUCCUGGGCUCCUGCCACAGAUCUAAGCCUCAUCCUGACAUCCUGCCCUCUGUGCUCUGGGAUGGCCCAGGGGAGAUGCUUAGCCUUGGCUCCUUGUCUGCUGGUGGAGGGGACACACACCCUUUCUGGACCACAGACCAAAAAGAAGACCUGACGUCAUCCUGAGCACCCCCGCCAUGCAGAGUGUGUUCGCAGACUGCCAACGGGCUGGCUCCGGCCAGCAGAAGUGAACAGAGGUGGAGGUUCAGCCUGACAGCUUCUCCCCAAAGCCAUGGAGAGAAAACCUUACCACCCCCACCGCCCAGCUACUUCCAGCAAGUUGUCCAGCCUGACCCCUCUAUUUCCCCUGUUGUCUCUUAUCUGGGUCCCUGAGACCCACCCCAUCUCCAAUAAAGAACAUUGCAUACUGUG
rnacentral:lncRNA from 1 species